UACAGAGGGUGCAAGCGUUAAUCGGAAUUACUGGGCGUAAAGCGUGCGUAGACGGUUAUGUAAGUCAGAUGUGAAAGCCCCGGGCUCAACCUGGGAAUUGCGUCCGAUACUGGUUGGCUUGAAUCCGGGAGAGGGAUGCAGAAUUCCAGGUGUAGCGGUGAAAUGCGUAGAUAUCUGGAGGAAUACCGGUGGCGAAGGCGGCAUCCUGGACCGGCAUUGACGCUGAGGAGCGAAAGCUAGGGGAGCAAACGGG
rnacentral:rRNA from 1 species